rnacentral:rRNA from 1 species
AGUGUUCGGAUCGCUGUGACGUAGGUGGUUCGCUGCCCGCGACUCUGCGAGAAGUCCAUUGAACCUUAUCAUUUAGAGGAAGGAGAAGUCGUAACAAGGUUUCCGUAGGUGAACCUGCGGAAGGAUCAUUG